GACAUGUGGUUUAUUCGAAGCAACGCGAAGAACCUUACCAGGUCUUGACAUCCUCUGACAACCCUAGAGAUAGGGCUUCCCCUUCGGGAACAGAGUGACAGGUGGUGCAUGGUUGUCGUCAGCUCGUGUCGUGAGAUGUUGGGUUAAGUCCCGCAACGAGCGCAACCCUUGAUCUUAGUUGCCAUCAUUAAGUUGGGCACUCUAAGGUGACUGCCGGUGACAAACCGGAGGAAGGUGGGGAUGACGUCAAAUCAUCAUGCCCCUUAUGACCUGGGCUACACACGUGCUACAAUGGACGGAACAAAGAGCUGCAAGACCGCGAGGUGGAGCUAAUCUCAUAAAACCGUUCUCAGUUCGGAUUGUAGGCUGCAACUCGACUGCAUGAAGCUGGAAUCGCUAGUAAUCGCGGAUCAGCAUGCCGCGGUGAAUACGUUCCCGGGCCUUGUACACACCGCCCGUCACACCACGAGAGUUUGUAACACCCGAAGUCGGUGAGGUAACCUUUUUGGAGCCAGCCGCCUAAGGUGGGACAGAUGAUUGGGGUGAAGUCGUAACAAGGGUAGCCGUAA
rnacentral:rRNA from 1 species